rnacentral:rRNA from 1 species
GACGAACGCUGGCGGCGUGCUUAACACAUGCAAGUCGAACGAAGAGCGACGGAAGCUUGCUUCUAUCAAUCUUAGUGGCGAACGGGUGAGUAACGCGUAAUCAACCUGCCCUUCAGAGGGGGACAACAGUUGGAAACGACUGCUAAUACCGCAUACGAUCUAACCUCGGCAUCGAGGAUAGAUGAAAGGUGGCCUCUACAUGUAAGCUAUCACUGAAGGAGGGGAUUGCGUCUGAUUAGCUAGUUGGAGGGGUAACAGCCCACCAAGGCGAUGAUCAGUAGCCGGUCUGAGAGGAUGAACGGCCACAUUGGGACUGAGACACGGCCCAGACUCCUACGGGAGGCAGCAGUGGGGAAUCUUCCGCAAUGGACGAAAGUCUGACGGAGCAACGCCGCGUGAGUGAUGACGGCCUUCGGGUUGUAAAGCUCUGUUAAUCGGGACGAAAGGCCUUCUUGCGAAUAGUGAGAAGGAUUGACGGUACCGGAAUAGAAAGCCACGGCUAACUACGUG